rnacentral:lncRNA from 1 species
GCGGCUGGCGUGCAGGAGGGCGCGCUCGGCGCGGCCGUUGGACACGAACAGCAGGUCGAACCGCCGCGCCGUGGCGCUGCCACGCGGCGCGUCGUUCGCGACGGCGACGGCGAAGCCCUUGCCGGCCUCGUGCUGCGCGAACAGGGACGCGCACGCCACGGUGAUCACAACCGCCACGCGGAGCACGAUGCUCUUGGUGGAAGGGGAGGAGGAGGAGGAGGAGGAGGGCGCCGGAGGGCCCGACGGCGCGGCGUCGGCGGUGAUGAUAUCGACGCAGGAUGAGGCAGCGGGGGCGGUGGAGACGGGGAGGAGGAGCGGAGCCUCCAUUGGUGGUGUCUGGUGUGGUGGUAGAGCAGAGCACUGGAGCCGAGGGCCGGGCACGGGAGGAGAAAGACAAAGGCUUGGAACUGGGUGGUGGCUGCCACAAUAAUGCGAGCGGCGUGGGUUAUUUAACGGCAAAUAAAUGUUUUGGCGUCCGAGUGGAGUGAUGAAUGAAUUGGGCUGGGCUGAUGAUUGAUUAGGUCUGUGUUUGUUGCGUUGGCCGUCCAGUGUUAAGUUUGACAGAUUUUUCUAGAAGAUGCUGAAACCAGCAGGCGAACGCAAAUCUAGCAGUGCCCAUGCUUAUCUUAUGAAACAAUCACAAACAUGAUCGGCCACUGCAAUUUUUAUGGUUCUACUAUUCGACCAUACGUAGCCAUUCACUAUUGUUUACAAUUUGAAUUCAUGAUACAUUGAUACUAUUAAGCACUUUAGUCUUUUUGCAUAGGCAGACGCACAAACAGCGGCGGGGCCAUGAAUUAUAUAUAUAGGGGUCCGAGGGGAGGAGGGCAGUCAAAGAGUUUGAAUGUACAAAAAUUGAGUACAGCUUAUUUGUUUAGAUUUUUACGGAGGGAUUAGGCGUCUUUUUUUUCUAAAUUUAAUAUAUUAUUUAACGGUUUAACCAUGCUUGUUAUUCUUACUGUGAUAGACGAUCGUGCAUGUCUCUCAACAGUAGGGCGCAUGUAAUGACUCAUGAAUCUUGAAAUCUAUCUACUUACUGUUUUGAAAGUGCUCUAUAUUUGUGGUAGGUAAACAUGUCCGUUGAUAAGGAGGCACAUGUAAGUGUCUCUAUCUAAACUGCGAUUUACAAUAAAAAGACAUGAUCCCUGAAUUGUCAUUGCUAGUUAAGUACAUGUUCAUUAAAAUAUAAAAUAUAAUGAAACAUAAGUGUUUAGUAAAACAAAAAAAUCCGACAAACUUGUCUUAAUAUAGUAAGCAAACAUAUUUGAAUAAAUUACAAUAUUUUAUUUUAAUUAUGGUUUAUGCAAUUUUGUUGUCUAGAAGAUACCAAUAGGCAUAUGUAAUAAUUCAGUGAUCAUCUCUUUUCAUUGUAACAUCAGGUAAGAAGCGGAGCUCGCAGAAACGCAAAAGGCAACCACAGUAGCUCGUCAGCUAAACUUUCGUUUUUGAAGGGAAAAAUUUCGUGACAUUAUAGUACUUUCAUUUGUUUAUAGUAAUUAUUGUCCAACCAUAGACUAACUAGGCUUAAAAGAUUCGUCUCGUAAAUUUCAACCAAACUAAGCAAUUAUUUUUUUAUUUCGUCUAUAUUUAAUAUUUCAUACAUGCGUCUAAAGAUUCGAUGUGACCGUGAACCUUGAAAAAUUUUGGGUUUUUUUGGAUUGAAGUAAAUAAGGCCCAAAACUCUGUCUUGAAUCGAGGAGUAACUAGGGAUAGCGUGUGGUUUUGCAAGCAAGAUUCUCAAAACUGCAUUUCGGCUCCCUUUUAUAACUAUAACAUGGAAAAAAUAGUUCGCUAUUUUUGUCGCUAUAGCACGAAAUAGCUUGAAAAAUUGUGCCGCUAUUGCGUUCAUGCACAAUUUUACCGCUAUGUUGCCGCUAAAAUACGCAAAUUACGGUUUAUAAAACGCUAAACACCUUGGUCUUAGCUCGCUAUUUAAAACAUGGAACUGUAACAAUAAUUUAUUCGGUAAAUCAAAGAAUUAUCAUCCUAGGAAGUAGGUUUAAAAAUCAAAAUUUGCAGAGCACCGCAUUCCAUUGUCUGCACAUAUUUUCACCACCCAGCAGAAGCACUAACGAAGGCCACCGGCCAUAUUAUCAGUCAGGACAAUCUAAGCACUUCAUUCAACCACCGUCUAAUUCUCAUCCUCCAUAGAUGUUUUUUUAAAAAAAUAAAGAUCUUCAUGGUGUCCACAAUGCAUCGGACAGAUCUUCAAACUACUUUUGCGACACAACUCUUCUUUACACAUGCGCAGACAUAGUUCACUCGUUUUUAUUCGUUUGAACUUAUCAGCCGUACCAUUUCAAUAAAAUACCCGUUUUUUUUUAAAACAAAUCAGCAUCAGUAUUAACCGUCACUUGUUUUUGUUCGCUUGAACUUAUCAGUCGUACCAUUUUAAUAAAAUACUAGUGUUUUUUGUCAAAAACAAAUCAGCAUCAACGUUAACUGUUUCUCCGGCCAGCCGAACAGGGCAAACUUGCCUAGACUCCUUUUGGUUGUUUGUUCGAUUCCAUAAAAGUGAACACAACAGCAUCUUGCCCUUGAAGCUCCGCCUACAAUCAGAACGUAGAACGAAUGUAAGUCAGGUAGUUCUCUUUGUCAAAAGUUACCGGUUCUCAAACAUUUGGGCCUUGUUUAGUUCACCAAAAAUUUUGCAAAAUUUUUUAGAUUCCCCGUCACAUCGAAUCUUUAGACGUAUGCAUGGAGUAUUAAAUAUAGAUAAAAAUAAAAACUAAUUACACAGUUUAGUCGGAAUUGACGAGACGAAUCUUUUGAGCCUAGUUAGUCAAUGAUUGAACAAUAUUUAUCAAAUACAAACGAAAUUGCUACAGUGCUCAUUUUGCCAAAAAUUUUGGAACUAAACGAGGCCUUGGUGGAAAAAACUCGAUCUGUGGUGGCUAGACAACCCGGGUAUUCUAGCUUAAGAAAAAGAUCUUUUCAUACAGACCGAGAAAACCCUCAAAUCUCUGCCUCACCCAUACAUAGCGGCAGAACAGCUUGGUGAGAUGAGCUGGCCACAAAGUUGCGGUGAAAGUGUUGGAUAAAUUGCAUUUUGAAGCCAAAUGGCACAUGAAAAUUUUAUGCCUUCCCUUCCAUUUGAUAUUUACAAGCACAACCCUUAAACCAAGAAACAGAGCAUCUGAACAAGCACGACAAGAAAAGGAUCCGAUGGAGAGUGAGUUUCAGAAAGCAGAGGAGCUUGUGCAUUCAGUUCUCUUCCAUUGUUCGUGCAUGGAGAUUAGAGAAGAAACCAGGAUAUGAACCGAUGAUCCGUAGCAGCCAACCCCUACGUUGCACUGAUACGGGAUACGGAUACGGCGAUACCGAUACGGCGAUACGUUGAUACGGCAUUUUCAGAAAACAAGGAUACGCCGAUACGGCAAGUAUAUAAAUAUACCAAAAAAAUCACAAUACUCCUAUUAAGAAUAAUUUUCACUCUAGUAGAAUAAUCAACAAAUAGAUAUGACAAAAUAUAGACAUGGCUAGUACCAUGAAGCAUUUAAGAUACUUGGUUUCACACUAGCAGAAAACUAAAUAUUGUUUUUAAUAUCCUUACAGCAGAAUAAUAAAUAUUAGGAUACUACAAGUUUUAGGCUAAGUCUGCUACUACAUCUAUUGUGUACGUGUGGUGGCUAGUAGGGUUUUAGUGUUGUGUAAAUGGGCCACAAAAAUGAGCUGCUAACUUGAUGGACUUCAAUUUGAGAUGUUAUGGGCUGGAAAGUAUCGGUCUAGUAUCGACGAAGUAUCGGAUUUAUUUUAUUUAUUUUUAUUUCUCUAUUUCCCCGAUACUUCUCCGAUACCGUAUCGGCGCCGUAUCGGCGUAUCGCCGUAUCGGAUACGUAUCGCGAUACCGGUACAGCGAUUCAGAGAAGUAUCGGGGUAACAUAGGCCAACCCCAUGUGGAGCCCCUUCUUCUGGUUUUUUGUCGCCGCUGCCGGCAAACAUCUCGACGCCGGCGAGCAUAGCAAACUGUUGCCCAGCCAGAUCAGAAAAUUCCCUUCCUGAAUCCUGAUGGUGUGCUGCAGCAGCUUGGAAGACCUUGGCAAUGUAGAAGCUGCCUGACCCAAGGCUGAUCGAGACCUCCUACUGUACUCGAGACACGCUUCAGCGUCGGUGGUCUGCCGCCGUCUGCCCGUCCAUGGCAGCAGCAAAUAGGUAAUUUCUCCCAUUGGGGCCGCAAAUCACAUGGCGCAGCAAUUUUUUUUUUUUUUUUGCAUAGAUGCAUAUUUUCCUUAGAACUUGUACGGUAAUGCAUUUUCAGUCGCAAUCAGAAUUCUCAUUACAAAGUCACGCAACAAGCACACAAGCAGAUAUCAUGACACAAUAAACUGUUUACACGGAAGGAGUCACCCUCGAUCGAGGGUGAGGGAGAGCGCCUAGCGCGCAUUUUUACUAUUCUACUACUAGAUAGAAACGGCAUCCAAGCCGCUAGCUAAUAAGCACCCAAGCUAUCUAUUUGCUGUAGGUACGAACCACCCAGAUCCAAAAGGCAACUACCGCGGCCAUUAGGAGGGCCUGAAGGCAAGCGGAGGCCAGCACAAUCCACACCUGGCAAUAUAACGCAACAAAGAAAUUGAUCAUCACGGAAGGCAUGGCAGUACACAUGUAAGCACCUUUGUAGAGAGCCUCCCAGGCUGCGAAGGGUGCAGACGGCACGAACAGUCUCAAGUACCCCAUUGCCACAUAAAUCAUCGCAACGUAGAUGGCUGGCAACAUCAAAAAUGGCAGACGCCACAGGAAGCCAGCACCCUGGUUGGGGUCGUUGUAAAUGAUGAAACCCAAAGCUGCAAAGCUGAAAAUGAAAAUAGAUGGCACCCAGAUGGUUAUUAUCCACUGAGCCAAACGGCUCGUCAUCUGGUUCUUUUCCCCAAUAGUCAAUUCAGACGACGCCACUGCCUGCAUUACCCACUCAAAGGCACGGGAUGCAUCGUGGUCUAAGAACUUCAAGGUCAUUUCCUGGACUCUGGUUGCAAGCAGCACCAUGAUUCACUCAAGUUCAGUUAUCCUGGUAAAAAAAAGUGUUAGUUCCUAUCCCAUAAAGAAAGAAUAUAGUGCAUAUAUGGAAUCUUAUAUCAACCAAAACUGUGCAUUAUCUUCUCUUCCUAAAAGAUGAUGUCCUUAUUAGCCAAGGGGGAAAAAAACUACGAUCGAGUAUAUAUAAUUCUAUAUAUUCUUGGAAGAUUUGUCUAGAGACAGAAUUUAAAGGAGUUAAUCAACAUCAUUUGCAUUCAAUUUGGAGAAGGCCAAACAACUAAUUAGGCCAUUUUGAAAAAAGAAAACAUGCUAGAGUCUAGAGGAAUAUUAAAGUAAUCCUCCACAAGCACAGAAUACCACAAACAAAAUAAGGCCUAAAACCAUAUGUGCUCUGACAGAGAAUAUUAAUAACCUUGUGCAGAGCAAUUGAGCUAAAAUCUGAACAUUUUCAGUACAUGGAUUCCACAAACAAAUGAGACCUAAAACCAUAUGUGAUCUGACAGAGAGCAACCUCCUGCAGAGCAAUUGACCUAAAAUCUGAGCAUUUUCAGUUCCGAGUGUAUUCUACUAGCUUUAUGAAAAUCAGACACAAACUAAAGAAGUAAACUAGCUAUAGCAUAGAUGCAUGCUCUGAGUAUGCUAUAGCCAGAAUGGAGCAGGGUAGAGAAACAAUUGAAGCCUAAAACCGUGCAAUGAACAGAAAGCAACCUUUUCUUUUAUUUCCAUGUCUUACUUCUGAACUUGGAUGGUCCAGCACAUUCAUUUCUAUUUAAUGCCAAUAGUCACAAAUACCUCCUCAAAGAUCAUUUCUUCAAUUCUAAAUUUUUGAACUGGAACAGAGAACUAGAGUUGUGGCUUUGUAGUUCUGUCAGUGCUACAUAGCUCUUACUGUGGAUGGAAGACCUUUAGAUGCUUAUUAGUAUAAUCAUAGAACUAGUUAGCUUUGCCCGUUUGGCAUUUAGUUUUAUACUGGACUGAACAUUAGCAUUCAGUUUGAUUUGUGUGAAGUUUGCAUUUGAUGGAAAAGGUAAUUUGUGCUUCAGAAGUGUAAACUGUAGAGGAAUAAUGUUAUUCAUAGACUUGGUCUCCUCUGAGUCAAGUAGCUUAAAUUGAAGCUAACCAAUCCUGUGUAAAACUAGUCCUACAUACAUCAUGCAAAAUUCUGAUGCUUUGAGAGUUUUGAUCAAUUAAUUGACAGAUGGACUGUUUCAUAUUGUCAUUGCCAAUAUCCUAUGCUGCUGUUGAUCGAAUUGAAGAUGAUAAAAUACGUACGCUUACUGGCAGGAGGAGAAAAGAUAGGUGGCCCAAUUUGUACCAGUAAUUUGCAUUCAGUGGGAAGUCGAUCUCAAAUAUCUCUUAAAGAUUAUCUCUUGAAGGUGUGAUGCCAGUUGACAGCAUGAAAAUUGCAAGGAUCAUAUUUGCAUUCUCCAGGAUGACAAAUAUUUAUCUCCAAAAUAAAUAUGCAAGAUAUAGUCUCAUUACAGAUGAAUAUAUGCAAUGCAAAAACUGUGUUAGUAUAUAUUUGUGUUCAUGAGAAAAGAAUUCUGGUUGGUGAACCUGAGUGGUGUGUUUUGAUUUUCAGUUUGUUAUCUAGCAGUAACGGCAAAAAGCCUUAUUUUCUGUAGUUUGUGAACUUAUGUUCAGUUAUCAAUUCACUUAUAGUUAUCUUGCAUGCUUUACCUGUGUGGUUAAAAAUGAUAAAAUUUUUGUAGUGACACACUGGUAUAGCUUCGAUCUUGGCAUGUCGUGCCACACUACACCGCUAGCUCAUCAGUGCUGCCACAGCAAGCUAUAGCUCCUUCCCUCCUACUGUACCUUCCAGCGGCCAGCGGCAGCACCACAACCCAACACUGCGGCAGCCGUUGCCCUAGCUAGGCCUACCUCUAAUCCCAACGGUACGGUGCCCCACACCAGAACCCUAACCAUAAACAUGAAGGAGAGGGAGAGAUGAGAUGCGAGCUUACCUCGACUUGUUGGCCUUCCGCCGCGGAUGGGGUGAAGCAGCAAACUCGUCGCGUCGAGGAAGGCCGGGGAUUAUAGGGUACAGGCUUUUACAUGUAUCCCAUUAUAUAUUAUAAAAUAUUACCUAAAAUCUAUUAAAAAGAUUGAGCUGUCAUAUAUAUCUUAUCGGUCUAAACUUAUUUAAGGCCUGUUUGGUUGCCUAAAAUUUAGCAAGGAGAAGGAAAGAGACCUUAUUCUCUGCGUCAUUCCGUCUAUACCUUCCGAUUUCCGUUGGGUUUUCUCCGUUUAGCAACUCGCCUCUCCUCAAUCCUAUUCACUGCACGUCAAUGCCGUCCGCCGUCUCCCGCUGCUCCGGGGGCGAGCUCGCCCACGCCGCCCGCGGUGGCUGCUCCAGAGCUCGCCCACGUUGGCCGGGCCACUUCCUCACGUCAUGGCUGCUGGUCAUCAAGGACCCCAGCUGCGGCAGGUCACAGGUGACAGGUGUGGCCGCGUUCCGACUGUUAGAAAUAGUUUGUGGCAUGAGAGUCUAUGGCUGUAGAUUUGUUAAGAAUCUGUAAAAUAGAAACUGUUGUAUAGAAUCCUAAAAACAUGGGACUCUCAUACCGUGAUCAUGUACCGGAGGUUGUUGCCUUGUAUAUGAGCUGCGUUAUUGGCGAGCAUCUCCAAAGGCUUUGGCAAAUUGACUUGGCAUUUGUUGCUAUUUGCAAACUCCCAUAACAAAAUGCAAAGGAUAAAAAUAGGCCAUCUCCAAGGAAAUUGGCAUUUGGACUUGGCAAAUGAUAAAAAUAGAAGGUCUCCAGGCGCGCGCUUUCCUCGCGCGUGACUUUGCUCGCGCGAUCGGGUUUGCAAAGUCGUCCACAGCUUGGCAUUUUUGCCAAGUUUACUCACUCAUUUGCCAAGUUGCACAAAUUGCAAACUCCAAAUGCAAAACCGUUGGAUACCUCUUUUGGAGCUUUUUGGCAAAUUACUUAAAUGCAAACCUCAAAUGCAAAACCCUUGGAGAUGCUCAAAUCAACACGCACUGCGCCCCUGGCUAUCAUCUUGCCAAGCGCUUCCACCAUCUGCCCUCUGUAUUUUCUACAUGUAGAAUGGACAAGUUCCCCUCCAAUGUCGACAUGCGGCACGUGGCGCCUCGCCCCAGCCCUAUCUUACUCUGUCCCGCUCUUGCACCGUCUUCAGCCUCACUCGAAAUACUUUGUUUGCUUGGGCCUUGUUUAGUUCCCAAAAUAUUUUGUAAAUUUUUUCAGAUUCUCCGUCACAUUGAAUCUUACGGCACAUGCAUAGAGCACUAAAUAUAGAUAAAAGAAAAAACUAAUUGUAUAGUUUAACUGUAAUUUGUGAGAUAAAUUUUUUUGAGCCUAGUUAGUCCAUGAUCGGACAAUAUUUAUCAAAUACAAACGAAAGUGCUAUAUUGUCCAUUUUGUAAAAAAAUUUAGAAGUCGUGUAUGCGUUUGCUCUGCUCUUACUGUGGAGCCAGCCCUGUUUCUCGGUAUGCUGUCUCUGCAGACACGAGCGGGCAGUGGCGAAGUCAGAUUUAAAACUUUGGUAUUUUCACUUCCACGUCAUAAAAAAAUCAAAUCUUUAGGCUUAAAAUAUAGCCAAUAACACUAUGAAUCAACAACUAUUGAUCAAUAUUUGUUUUCUAGACUAAAGACUUCUAAUUAAAAGGCUAGUCUUUUCACCUGCUUUGAGCUGAAUGUGCUAAAAUACUAUAAAUUAUAACAUUAUACAAAAAUAAUUAGGUAUUUCCACUGGGGAGAAUACCCUAAAUCCGGCCGUGGCAGCACCCGGCACGGCAGAGCCCCUUGCACUUGCCGUGUGCAAGGCCGCUGCCAAAGUCAAGUCGCUCCACGGCCACCGGGUGCAACACCUUGCUGUCCGCCGCAGUCGCCAUGUAUGACCAAUGACCCCAUUAGUUCAUGUGGUUUUGGCCGUCUGUUACUAAUUAGAAAAAUGCUUGCAUCCAUACGUUUUGCGAAAAAAUGUGCAACUAAGGUUUUACGAAUUGUGUUGCUAUAGUCUAGUAUAAAGUUAUGUAACCUAGUUUUCAAAUCUAUCAACUUAUAUUAUCAACUAAUAAGGUAAACUAUAAUAGUAAACACACAACUUAGGUUCAUAAUAUAGUGCGAAAACUUAACUAAAAUAAAGAUACAAACUUCCAUUAACGAUUCUGGCAUUUUCCCUAAGUUUUCAAGACACUCACGGUUUUCCCUAAUCGUAGUUGGAGACCUGCAAAAGCCGAGCACCGAUCGAAUACUCCUGCAAAGGCCAAGCACCGAUCACUCUGGGAAGUUCCGAGUUCGUUUGGAACUGCUCCACAAAAUCCACUGUGGCUCCAUAAAAAAAUAGAGUUUGUGGAGUACCUUUUUAGGUGCUCUCACAACUCCACCAAUUUUCCUCGAACUGAAUGCGUGGAGCUGAAACUGUUUGGCUAAAAAACGUGGAGCAAAGCAGUCCCAAACACUCCAAUAUUGGAAACCAAAGAUAUCACAUCGCACAUAUCAAACGGCCCUUACAUUAUGGCGAGCAAAAAAAUAUUCAAAAGGAAACUUAUCUUUUGUUGAUCAAGGAACUAGGCUUUGUUCCACCCAAAAUGCAAAAAGUUUUUAAAAUUCUCCGUCACAUCGAAUCUUGCAGCAUAUGCAUAGAGCAUUAAAUAUAGAUAAAAAAUAACUAAUUGCAUAGUUUAAAAUUUACGAGACAAUCUUUUGAGCCUAAUUGGUCUAUGGUUAGACACUAAUUACCAAAUGAAAAAUGAUAUAGUAGCUAAAUCCAAAAUCUUUUCAAAACUUAACAAGGCUCUAGUAAAAUGCAUGCUUCCUUGCACAUGUCUUUAUUUUAUUUUAUUUUAUUUUACUUUAUUUCUUUUAUCUUUUCUGUAGAUACUUUCGUCCCAAACAACAAUAUUUUGAUUAUGCUCUCUGUCUAGAAAAUUUGAUGUCUUAUCUUUUGUAAAACUAGUUUGGGCCAUAUAGUUUAAGAUUGUGGUAUUCCUGCAUUUUUUUUCAAGCAUCAUGCAUGAAUCGCCUUCAAUAAAUAAGAGAUACAUAGACAAUUUCAAUUAUACACUAAUUUUUUUGAGGGAAACAUGAGGGGCGCCAAGCACCACUGAAAAUUUAUUGAAAAAAACGAAAGUACAAAGCACACAAAGUUAAGCACUAAUUUAUCUUAAAUUCAUAAAAAAAAUAUAGAAACGUCAAAAAUUUGGGACAUAUAUAGGAUUAUUUCAAGACGAUUCAUUUCAGAAGGUAGAUAGACAUGAUCCGACGAUGCUCCGGAUCAGACGGUUGUGUGUCGGACUGUCAUGUCCUAAUCGAAAAUUACUGCAGAGGCAAUCAUGGCGGCGGGCACUUGGGGUUGCAGGUGACGCAGUUGGCCUGGCACUCUUUCCGUGAGUAGUAGCAGUAAUUUCCAGUCUCGCAACAAUAGCAGUCUCGAUUGCCACACGACCUUAUGGCACACAAUAUCACCUUGAACUUGCUCCCAUCUAGUGCCGUGGAGUUGACGGCCGCGUCCGUAGCGUUAGCGCUUGGGUACCUCCUCAAUAUUGGAAUUCCGAUCUCAUCAAGUAGCCCUCGACGACCUGCAAAUCGAUCAAAUUCAUAGAUAGACAUGGCAUAAAUUAAUGACAUGCAGAGACAAGCAAAGGUUGUAAUCGACACACUUACAUUGUGCAGGUGAAGCAAAUAGCACGACGAACAAGAACACGGCCACUGCCAGGCUGAUGAUGAAGGUCCUGGCCGCCAUAUUGAAUCCGAUCGAUCGAUCGUUUAGAUAGUGAUCGGAGCGACGUAUUACUAGAAUGUUUGUAUGUAUGGUAGAGCUAAGCAAGGAUGGCUUGGGUGUUGUGUAUAUAGGGCAAUGCAUGAGGUACUAGUGAUGUAUAUACAUGGAAAAGUAAACAGCCUUGGCAAUUUUGAUUCCCUUAUUGGCUCUUGCCAUGUAUGUGUACAAGGAAAAGCAGCCUUUUGCGAUUUUGAUUUUGUUUGAUUAUUGAUUCCUUUGUUUCCUCUACUAUUCCUACUUCUCGCGUCACGAAACAACAAAUACAAAUCGUGAACGGUUGUAUUUUUUUCCCAAAAAAAAAAGGAAGCAGCAGAUUGUGGGGGGCGGCGAUCCGGCCGUACGCUUUGUUUCCUUGUUUAUUAGUCGCAUCCUGGGCCCUCGCCAUUUCCUUAUUUUGGUUUGGGCCGAGCUUUUUGAGGCCCACCAUGCUACGCCGCCGGGGCAAGUGUGUGCCGCUGGGUAAACAAAGGGCCUUGUUUAGUUCCCAAAAAAUUUUACAAAAUUUUUCAGAUUUCCCGUCACAUCAAAUCUUAGGCGCAUGCAUGAAGUAUUAAAUAUAGAUGAAAAUAAAAACUAAUUGCAUAAUUUGGUCGGAAUUGACGAGACAAAUUUUUUGAGUCUAGUUAGUACAUGAUUGGAUAAUAUUUGUCAAAUACAAACGAAAAUGGUACUAUUCCUAUUUUGCAAAAAUUUUUGGAACUAAACAAGGCCAAAGUGUGUGUGUGUGUGUGUGUGUGACAAGGUGUGCGUUGGAAACCAAGAUUGCAGGUUCAAAAAAAAAGAAGAACCCAAAGAUUCAACAGUAUUUCAUGCAAGCAUGCAAAAAAUCUUGGAAGAGUCGAAGUGAAAAUCGUCGAGUGUAAAAACAAAAUAUAUACAGUUUAUUAGUAAAUAAUAUGUAGAACAAAAUAUUCCUACUUUUUUUUUCGCUGGGCAUUAUAUUAGAACUCUCUCCGAUCCAAUUGUAAGUUAAUGGCGCUGGUACUGGGCAUUAUGAGUUGCAAGCUUAAUGGCUCUGGAUGAUGGUGAUGGCAAUUGGAACUCAGACAGCUUCACUUUCAAGAUAUAUAUAUCGAAUAAGACGUGUGUCACUCAGGCCCUCAACAAAUUCGGCGUUGCAUAGGGGCGCCGCACCACUGCAACGGGCAACGGCAAAUGUUGCAUAAUAAUAUCUCCAGCCUUUUCCCUUUGAUUUGCAUCCUUUUACUAUUAACAAAAUGUAAUUUCCAAUGAAUUAAAUGAAUUGAUCAAUCCUUCAUUGUGCGCAAACUGGCACAUUUUAGCCUCAAUACAUGGCGUAAAAACAACAUGUUUUAGAGUCCAAGACUCUAUGUGAUCACCUCUUAUGAAUUACUACUUAUACCAUACGCCACUUCUUGCAGGCUAGUCCUGGAGAAGCUGUGGCCAGCAUAUCAGCAGCUAAUACAUCCUUGACAUGCCAGAUGGCACAACGCCAACGUUUCGGUGAGUGCCAGCGCCUACUGAUGCCGCGGCGGCAGCAACAAUGCCGUUAAGGGAUCUUGUGUAUAUGUCAGUGUCAGAUGCUAUCCUAUCUAAUGGGUUAUUCUUCGGUCCAGAUGGAAGAUGGAACGGGGGUGCUCUCAUGUUCACAGCCACAUCAGGCGAGCCUUUGCUGUUUGAAAAAGCAUAAGCCUGCGACUGCUGUGUGUAACCUCCCAUGGCCUGUGAUGGGUUCGUACUGUCCAAUCUUGCAGGCAUUUGGCGGUAACCAUAUGCUUGUGGGAUCUGUUGAUGAGGAGGAUACCCUGAAUUCAUCACUGAACCAUUAACUCUUACUGAUCCUGCUGGCAAAUAGAAAACAAAAAUCUCAGAAAAGGGCCAUCGUAAGUUAAAAAAAUAUCAACAAAUCAUUUUUAGUACUCCCUCCGUUCCAAAUUAUAUGCCGUUUUGGCUUUUGUAGAUACAUAAUUUUUGCUCUGUAUCUAAACAUAGUGUAUAUCAAGAUGCAUAGCAAAAACUAUGUACCUAGAAAAGCCAAAACAACUUACAAUUUGGAACAGAAGGAGUAACUAGCAGUAAGUGAAGACAGAAAUACCUGCUUGUGUUUGCAGCCCUUGUGGAGCCAGAGAUGCCCUGGGAACAUUUCCAGGACCACUUCCUUUCUCCCAAGGAUUCUUACAUGAAUCAUCAGAGACUGGUCUAACCUUUGAUGAGGCAGCAAGAGGUUGUUCCUUGGCAGGAAUUGGAUUCGAGUGAACAACAGUAGUCCUACAAAAUGAAGCUGCAGAUUAGCAAAACAAAAAAGGCAAAAGCUUUCACUCAACUAAAUUACAGUAACAAAAGGACAGAAGCACAGACAAGUGGAGCAACUGUUUAUGAACAUUCUGAACGCAUACUAAUCAACUGUUAGUUUUGAUUUCAGGGGAAAAAACAUGACUUGUACCAUGCCAGCAAAGCAUUGUACAGUUGGCUUCAGAAUUAGAGAACAUGUGCACCCUCAAUCCUCUCAUUGACACCACUGAGUAACUGCUGGAAACACCUCUGGUCUUAUCUUGCAUUCAAGACCAUGUAGGAACUUUGAAAUUAUCCAUUAGAACUACGAUUUUAUCUUUGAAGUUUGAAAUCCCAUGAUCAUCUAGCCUUGGUCACUUCGUUCUCAGGUAUCAACAUCCUAGGUGGUAUCAACAUCCUAACAACAAACUCAUACCCAACCCAGAAGAUGGCUCGUCUUACCAUUGGGCACUCGGGCCACAAGGGAGAACCUUAAUAUGGAGACAAACUAAGAUGUACAUGUUAUUGAAAGUACACCACAAGGCAGCCUGCGAAUGAAGUCAAGACUAUGAUGCCCUAUUACCUGGGCAGGGAUGCGUGUUUCCUGUCUGUUGGAACUGAUGGGACGUUACCACCACUUUCUUCAAGAUGAGAAAACUGCUUCUUAAAUUGAUCGACAGCGCUGCAUAAAAUAUCCAGCAAGUGUUUCCAUCAAAGGGUUGAAAUGGACAGAUACAUGUGUAAAUACAUGCAUGCGCAAAGCAACAUACAUGUGCAAACACAGAAAAGCUAAAACCUUGGGUAGAGAAAGGUUGUCCUCUCUGUGCCAUUAAUGUAGCUAUUCAGCAAUUGAGGGUGAUAUUCCAGUAUCUCACGGAAUAUCAACUCUCUUAUCUCUUCCUUUGACAUUCUUUUGUGCUCAAAGUCAAAUUCCACUUUUCUGAUUGGCUGACAGGAUGGUUCUCUUUCAAUCCUGGAAAGACCUUUGAAGUAUGGAUCACGCAAUGCCUGAAACAAUACAUAUAUUGAAAGAAAUGUCACAAAUACUUAGGAUUACAAAGUAAGGUAGAAAGCAGCAUCACAUAUCUAGUUCCAUAGAGGAAAAUUAGACACAAAAGGUUUUAAGAUGAGACAGCAGCAAAGGACUACCUCUUCUGCUGUUGGACGGUCCUUUGGAUCAAACGCUAAUAGCUUUUCUAAUAGUUUAAGUGCCAAAGGAUCUGCACUAGGAAACUUCUGAGAAAAUGGAACAGGAUCCUUCUUUCUCAUGCUGCUCAAGUACCUUCUUGCUUUCUCAUUCCGAACCUGAAAAGGAAUAAAAGAACAAGUUCAACUUUGGAGUCACUGAGCCAUGAGACAAACUAAACUAGAGUUUCCUUGGUUAUAGCACUAUACCCGAGAAAUUGUAUCCGUUGAUGGUGUGCCUAGAAGAUCAGUCAUCAAAUCUAGCUGAUGAACAACAUUUUUACCAGGAAAUAAAGGCUUCCCUGUCAACACCUCAGCAAAUAUGCAUCCAAUGCUCCAAAUGUCAAUAGCUGGUGUAUACUGCAGUUUUUGGGGAUAACAACAAUAUAAAGCACAUUCAGAUUAUAGACAGGCUGGCAACAAUUUAUAUAGAAAGUAAAGCAUUCUUAGUAGUAAGAAAUGCUCAUUUGAUUAUUGUAAAGCUGCAAUUCAGCAGGUUAUUGGUUCCUAUUUGUGCAUAAUAGGGACAAAAAAAGGGGUAUCAAUCAGAUUGAUCCAUGCAUAAAAAUAAACCACAAAUGAAAAUGGCAUACAGAACCAAAAAAAAACACUUAUAUCAUUACCUACAAAGGACAGAGUUUAAUGAAUAUCUCAUGUGAAAUUACUAUGAGAAUCUUUAUCCAGAUUCAUAGUAUUUGGAAAGAACCAUUCAAACAAGACACUAAAGAGCAUCUCUCCAUGUGUUGGAGCUCCUACCAAAUUCUAGCAAAAAGUAACAAGGCAACGGUAAGAGUAAAAUGCAAUAACAUACCAUGAUAGAAUUCAUUGUCAAGGAGAAAAACAUAAGCGAAUAGUAUUCUCAAAUAAUCAUAAUUGGUAAUUCAUAUUAUGGGACCAUCCACAUUGCUUAUUAGUGAACAUAAUAAGUAAUGAUAUGUAACUAGAAAGCUCACCUUGGAGAAGAAGGAUCCACAGAGCUCUGGAGCUCUGUACCACCUUGUUGCAACAUAAUCCUGCAUGGCAUUUGUAUCAAUACACGAUAUACAUUAUACCUGAAUCCAAUGAAAUAAGAGCUGACUCUCUGUUUCUUACAUACCGUCCAGAAGACUGUUGUUGGGGUAUCAUUGAAUGCGACCCGGGCUAGUCCAAAGUCACAUAUUUUCAAUUUGCAGUUAGAGUUUGCUAAAAUAUUCUUGGGCUUCAGGUCACGGUGAUAAACAUUAGCUGCAAUUAUGUAAGUUCAGAAUCAGCAUAAACUAUGGCUACAAAAGGUGCACUAUGCAAUCAAAUGCUCACUGUGAGUUGCAACAUAAAAGGAGAUGAAAGGGAUUAUUACCAGCCAUACAUGGCUGAACUAAAAUGCACACUCCCAUUUUUGGGAGAUUCAGGGAAAUGGCUGGCAUAUACAGCGGGAGAGUUGGCAUACCAGUAUGGAUGUAUUUGAGGGCCCGAAGUAACUGGUAGAGAAAGAACUGGUAAUGCUCCUUGGUCAAGUCAUCGUUGGCCUUUAUAACUUGGUGGAGAUCGGACUCCAUAAGCUCAAAAACAACAUAAAUAUCCUUGAAGUCCUUUCUCGAUGGAGGUAACAUAAUGUGCUUGAUCUCAACAAUAUCAGGGUGCCUUAGGAGCCUCAGAAGUUUGAUCUCACGGAGGAUCCUCGCGGCAUCGGAGACAUGCUCAAAGAUAUUGUGUAUCUUCUUGAUCGCCACUCUCUGCCGGGUGUGAAGAUCAAUGGCAGAGCAGACAACCCCAUAGCUUCCCUUACCAAUGACUUCUUGGAUCUUGUACCGGUUUGCAUCCCCGUACUCUGUGAAGAAGUCGGCCUCUGCAGAAGUCUGCAACACGAAUUGCGCACAAUAGAUCAAUGAACUGUUUCAAGAAACCCCCACUGCAGAGGAUUUGCAGAGGAUUUGAAUGGAAGGGGUUGCCAAACCAUUGCAGACAGACAGGAAUAGGUCCGGAACGGACAGAAUCUGUCAUAAGGCAGUAACCGCGUGCACAAAAACUAGCAGUUUCACUUUUACUAAUGGAAUCGUCUCCUCCACGUGGGCGUGCCCGACGAACACCGCAAGCAAAGGGAACGAAUAACUAUGCGCGCCGACAGGAGUACAGGGCCAAGGCAACAGGCCGCCGUGCUGUUUAAUCCGGGGGACAGAUGGCAUCUCGAAGCGGCACGAAAAAUGGUCAACUUUUGCAUGUGAGAUCAGAGCUGUCUGCAACUCACACCGUUCAGCUCACGCGGCAUUUGACCUUUUCAUUACAUCAUCAAUCAGAGUGAUGUCCAGAUCGAAUUUAGACUUCACCAAUGAUAUGAACAUGGAAGAGUCGCGUCAAAACUUUUAAAAUAAAACAGACAUAAAAAUUCAAAAAAAGGUGUAAAGUAGAGGUGUUUUAUCGAUCGAUGGCUCACGCACUAUCAGCAGCCCGGAACCGAAAUCGACACGAAGCAUCAACACUAGCGCGCAGCAACAUAAUUUUUUUUUUUUUUUUGAAACGUUCGCAGCGACAUAGCUUAACGGCGAAAUUUACGAGCAAGCACCAACAGGAGAAGAAGCGCCCACCUUGUUCCGCUGGUCCUGCUGCAUCUCCUCUGGCCGGAUCUGCCGCCCCACCGCCGGUUCCAAACGAAAACCCCGCGCCCCCUCGCUUCCGCCGCACUCAGCACCCGCCUACGCUGCGGCGGCGGCGGCACCACCGGCACUCGAGACGCCGCGCGCGGUCGGGAUCAGGGGGGAGAGCAAGCCCCUGAGAGCGCCCCGGGACGUGGGACGGCGACCGCGCGGCGAGGGGGUAGUAGGGCUCCUCCGCCCGAUCUCGUCUCGCCGCGCGCCGCGUGCAGGCGUGCAGCGCCGCGCCCUCGAGGAAGAGGAGAGAAGGCAAGGCAAGGGAAAGGCGGAGGGGGAGAUUUCUUUCGUGUCGCUCGUGGCUUGUUGCCGUUAUAUGAUGGGGGCCCGGGCAGUGGGUGCGGGUGGGUGGCGUGCUGGACGCUUCCCCACCGUCCGAUCUGCAUCUUUGUGUGAUCCAUCCACCGCCUGUGCAUCUACCGCCCCCACCUCCUUUGAGCUUACCAACGCCUAGUGGCUUUUGAAAACAAUGCUGUCCAAAUUUCAUUUUGAUAUUAUAGGUCUGAUUGGUUUACUAUUAUUAAAUUUCUCUAUGAUAUAGAUUUGACAAACCAAAGUUAGGUAAAAAAAAAGAUUGUCAUAAAUUUGGCAAAUCAAAUGUGAGAGGUUGGUAAGUUUUAGCUGCAAACUAAGGCCUUGUUUAGUUCCCAAAAAUUUUGCAAAAUUUUUCAGAUUCUCCGUCACAUCGAAUCUUUAAACGUAUGCAUGGAGUAUUAAAUAUAGAUGAAAAUAAAAACUAAUUUCACAGUUUGGUCGGAAUUGACGAGACGAAUCUUUUGAGCCUAGUUAGUCUAUAAUUUGACAAUAUUUGUCAAAUACAAACGAAAGUACUACUAUUCAUAUUUUGCAAAAAAAUUUGGAAGUAAACAAGGCCUAAUUAAUAGCCAAAAUCAUGGCUUGCGAAAUCCUUGGCAUAGCAAAUUUUAGCCAUAACCCAGUUAGAUCCUAUAUACCGGCUUCGUAAAGUCCUAGAAGUAUAUGGUAAGACAAUUUUUUUUUUAUAAUUUUAACUGGAAUUAUAGAAGAUAUUGAUAUUUAUGACAAGAAAUUAGUGCUAGUAAAUAAACCAUAAAAUAUACAUCGAUCAAGCUUAUUAGAAUUUGACUCGAACCGACUCUAGAAACUGAAUUUAUUUUAUCGUUAAACGGAAGGUUCAGUGACCACACAAGUAGUUCGACUGUAGAGCUAUAUAUGAUACAUUCAUUCGGUGACGUAUAACCUAAUGACACAUCACAACCACCCCGAGCCGCCGUCGCUGUAACAGAUAACUAGUCUCUGUUGCGUUAGUGUCGGCGCAUGACAUUUGCGUUUGCACUCGCGAUGGGUGUAGGUUUUGGGGUCUUCUUUACCAGGACCCGUGGGUGGUGGUGGUGGUGUAGUGUAAUUAGGUGGCGGGAGCCUGUGAUGGAAUUGAAACGCCAACUAAUGGCAAGCUUGCCUUCAAAUCACACUUUGGCGACCCGUGCUCGUGCAGCCAGCCGCUAAUAACCUACUCAAUCCAUCCCAAAUUAUAAGUCGUUUGACUUUUUUAAUAUUAAGUUUGACCACUCGUCUUAUUCAAAGUUUUGUACAAAAUAUUACUUUUUUUUUGUUGUGUAUUGGUUUAUCAAUAAAAGUUCUUCAAUAAUGACUUAAAUUUAACUAUAUUUAUAUAAAUUUUUUGAAUAAGACGAGUGGUCAAACUUGGGAUAAAAAAGGGAGUACUAUCUACUCUAGUCGGUGUUCUUGUGAACCCAGCACGGACCAGGUACGCCGUACGCGGGACGGGAUGCUGCAGCGACACAUGGGCGCCGCCGACCUGCGAGCGCUGUACGUACCACGUGCGGUGUCCGCCUCGCGUCAUCGAUAUGGGCAAGAUUUCACGGCGACACAGGUCACAGGAUGACUGGCCGGAGAUCACACGGGCCGUGAACGUACAUUUAUUUUAUUUAUUUACAGACCGCCGUGCUUUCCCCGGACUGCUGGUGGUGUUGGAGCUUUUGUUUUUCCCGACUGCUGGUUGUGUGUGUGUGUGGAGGACUGGUGGUAUCAAGAAUAGCAAUUGUGCGGGCGUACGUCGCCUACCAGUCGUCUGCCAAAAAAAAAAAAAAAAGAGGAGAGGACGACCGGCCGUGAACGUCACACAAUCCGUUGGACGUCGCGUCGGAAUGGCCCUCCCUCACAAUUCACCAAAAGAAUGGCCAGCAACACCGACCACUAGAAAAAGAAACCCAACCCGAGUCGAACCGAACCACGGGUUCAGUCAGGCGCAGCAGAGAGUGGCGUGGCGCCUAAUUCAAACGGACGGACCAGACAGCAGAGCACCAGCACCACACAACAGAUGAAUGGUACUGGUAGGCAAAGGCAACGCGCACAGGCAGGCACCACAGAAUCGGCAUCCAUCAUCAUCAGCUGAUGAUGGUGAAACCAACCUUGCUCAUGCAUGCAGUAUAUCUCAGCAGUAUAUUCCAUGAUCAGGAAGUAUUGCAUAUCUAUACAUAAAUAAGUCAUGUCAACGUCGUGGUCGUCCAGAACAGUUUCUCUGUUUGUAGUUACAGCUUACAACAGCAAUACAACAUUAGAACUACUGCACACCAAGCUUUAUGCUAGUGCCCAAAGAAAUGGAGAACCAACUAUACAAUAUAUGCUACCUGCCUCUCUCUUUUUUGUUUUCCUAUUCCCCUUGCAGAUACAAUAUACAUGACACCAGCUGCAGAAGCAAAAUGCUCCAGUUCCCACGAGGUUGGUGGGUACGCGGCAGUGUCGGUUACACACUCGCAUGUGAUGCUGCUGCGCCAAUCAUCUCCCCGGAGCCAAAUAUCGGGAUUCCGGCAGGAGUUGCUCUACAUCCACAUGGAGCCCCCAGGAUCUUUCAGAGAACUAGAGAGAAACCGCGUGGAGCCGCCGGUAAGUAUACCUACUGAAUCCGCUGGAGAUUGUAGUGCACCACCCUCUCGAGGGCGCUUCUGAACUCGCUCCUCGGAAGGCACUGCAGGCUCUGAAUCGCCAGCGCGCCUUUCUCCUCAGCGAGCUCCUGAGCUCUCCUGAUACCGCCGCUCCGGUGGACGAGCUCGACCGCGGCCGCCAGGGAUCCCGGCUCGCUGAACUCAGAGUCGAUGAUCUCCCGCAGCCGUGGCUCGUCUUGCAGCGCGAAGAUCACCGGAGCCGUCAGGUUUCCUUUCGCCAGGUCACUCCCCGCUGGCUUCCCGAGCUGCUCCGCUGACUGGGUGAAGUCGAGGAUGUCGUCCACGACCUGGAAGGAGAGCCCCAGGUUCCUGCCGUAUUCGUACAUCUGCUCGCAGAUGGUGGUGUCCAUGCCGCUGAAUAUGGCGGCAGACCUUGUGCUUGCCGCGAUCAGAGAAGCGGUCUUGUAAUAGCUCUUCAGCAGAUAAUCGUCGAGCGUGACGUCGCAGUCGAAAAGUGUUGAUGCUUGCUUUAUCUCACCACUAGCGAAAUCCUUGAUUACCUGUUAGCACAUCGGGUUUUUUUCCCUCCAUUCAGGUAAACAAAGCGCUGACAUUUUUAUUUAAAUGAAGAGAUCAUGGCCUGCUCGGAUCCUGUAGUACCUGGCUGAUGAGCUUGAUGACUUCAAUGUUUUCUAGGUUUGCAAGAAACCAAGAAGACUGUGCAAACAUAAAAUCGCCAGCGAGCACAGCCACCCGUGUGCCAUAGAGCUGGUGGAUUGUUUCUUUUCCUGCAAACGAUCAGAUCUAGUUUAAUUAGAAUAAAUCGGUCAACCUAUUGUCCUUGGUACCCACACCAAACCAUUACAUUAUUAAGUAUGAUGAAUAGCAUCGAGCGUAAAGGAAACAAAGAUGAAGCUUCCAGUAUCACGAAUGCAACAAGGUAAUUAGCAUUUACUAGCAAACAGAGGGAAAAAUGAAACACAGAUUUCCAAACUUUACCUAUCACCUAUGUCUCCAAAGUACAAGGGCCAAGAAAAUCAAUAGAAUUUAGAAAUACCAUGGACAGCCAUGCCCAGAAAAUAUUAAACAAAUGUUUCCAAGAGGUUUUAAAUAAAAAUAAAAAAUAGCAUGAUAAAAAAUGCUUUUUCCAUUAACACUGUACACUAAAUCACUAGUAAGCACAGCUACCAUGCAGACCUGCUGGAUUGUUUCCUUCCCGAUCCAAUCUAAUUUAUAAUAAACCGGUCAAGUUAAUUAUACCCUCACGAAACCAUUACAUUAUGAUGAAGUGAAUACCAUUAUGUGUAAAGGAAUAUGCUUCCUUCAUUUUCAAAGACCAAAAAAGCUUCCUGUAUCGCGAGUGCAACAGGGAAUAGCAAAGAGAGUGGUAAAAAUGACAUACAAAUUCAGAAUUUCCAAUGUAACAUAUGUCUCCAAAGUACAAACGCAAAAAGAAAACGAUAGAAGGUUCAAGUACAACCAUCCACAGCCAUUCCCAGAAAACAUUAAACAAAUGUUUCUAAGAUACCUUAAAUAAAAUAGAAAAGAGCAUGAUGAAAAAAAGGUUUAUAUUGACUAUACGUCUGACUUGUUCCUGACAAAAACAUUUUACAUACCUCUUCGCAUCCCACUAUCGUCUAUGACAUCAUCAUGUAUUAGACUUGCAGUAUGAAUCAUCUCUAUGAUCUCAGCCAAGCGCUGAUGUUCAGUAGUUAGCUCCCUGGAUUGCAAAACCAAAAUAUCUGUGUGUUUAAUAUCAAAAAUCAUGAUACAAAGUGGUAAAUCUAUAGCAGAGAAAGGAACUUACGACAAAGCAGCUAAUUCAGCAGUUGCUCUGGACACCAGAAAAACUAAUGCUGGUCUUAAUCUCUUUCCACCAGCACCGAAAAUUUGUUCUGCUGCAGAAACUAAAACUGGAUUUUCUGCACCAACAAGCUGUUGAAGUUAUAUCAGUUAUCACUGUGGCAGAUAGGAGCUCAUUAAGCACGAACUGCUAAAAUAAUCUUCAGCAGUCAUGUGUACGACUUUUGCAGAUUACAAAUUAGGGCAGGCAUGUUAUUUGAUUUUAAUGCUCUGAAAUUUUAGGCCUUAUUUAUAUCAUGAACGAAGAUUUAUACAUGGAUUGUAAAGCUGAGAUGUAUCAUCAUAUAUUUCUUAAGGAUCUUUUUUUUUUGCAUUCAGGAUAAAAAAUGUGUAGUAUGAGCAUAUCGUCAACCUUUCCCAAAACCCUAAACACUUAGGAGAGUUGCUGUGUGCAUGAAACUUAUUACGUUGUCAAAGCUCAAGGCCUUAGUCCAAGAAGUUCUUAAGGAAUUUUUUUUUUUUUUUUGCAUUCGACCAAAAAUGUGCAGUAUGAGUAUAUCGUCCACCUUUCCCAAAACCUUAAGCAUUUAGGAGAAUUGUUGUGUCAUGAAACUUAUUAUAUUGUCAAAGCUCAAGGUCUUAGUCCAAGACAUGGACAUCACCAGUGGUGGAGCUUGGACAGUUGGACAGGAAAGAGUGGGGGACAACAGAACAUGAAAUGGAAGUGGAGGGGGGGAAGAUUAGUAUCUUGUCAGCGCUAAAAUGAAUGAAAAUAAAUACUCCAUUAAGAAUUUGUCUAGCUUAGGGGUGGCCAUGGCUUUCUUUGGUACUAACUAAGCUCUGCCACCGGACAUCACAACUUUAGAAAAUAAUAAUUGGCUAAUUGUGACUCACUUUGAGUCAAUGUCAUAGGCCUCCUAGAUAUGAGAGUGGGGAAGCGCUGAAGUAUGAGUGUGUGUACUUAUUACUUUCAGCCCUACUUGAGAGUGAGUUGAAUAGAUGGAUGCCUGAAACUAAACUUAAAAUAAAAUAAAAUAAAAUAAAACUCGAAGCAUGUUAACAUUGAAGAAACUAAAGGUUUGCAGAAAAGGACAAAAAGGGCAGUGGAAGAUGUUAUGGAGGCCACAAAAAAUUGACAAGUUAUAGCAAGCGGAAUCGCAAACUCCACCGGACACUUUUGGUGUUCUGAGCUCCAACUUGUCAAAAUAUGAGACCACUACAUGAAGAAGAUAUACGUCCCCUUGAAAGGGAUGGAAGCAACUAUUAAUGUCUAAUAAUAUAUGUAUUCCUGUCAUUUUGCAGGCCACUUUCAAAGAGCCGGUGCAACUGUGGAAUUGGACAGUUGCUGAUAGCAUAUGAUGUUACUUAUUUUACUUUGGAGUUUCAUGAGAAUAUUUUGUCUUAAACAAAUUCCAUGAACUAGGAACACUUGAGGAACAUGUCAAAUACAAAAUUCCGGAGGCCUGGUGGAGCCUAGGAAUCAUGAGGACUGGGAAAGUGCUCAAGUAUUGACUUUACUUCUUACUUUCAGUUCUAUUCAUGUUCGAUAAAAAAAACUAUUUGAGAUUUUAGUUGAAUUGAUGGAUCCAUGAAACUUAAACAAAAAAUAUAAGUUCUCGAAGCAUGUCAAAAUCCAAGAAAUAAACUGAAGGUUGCAGAAAAGGACAAAAAAACCCAGUGGUAGAAGUUAUGGAGGCCAUAAAAAAUGACAAGUUAGAGCAAGCAGAACUGCAAAAUCUAUCAGCCCACUCUUGGUGUUCUAAGCUCCAAGUCAUCAAAAUAUGAGACCAGUACAUGAAGAAACACACAUCCCCUACAAAGGGAUGGAGGCGGCUUUUAAUGCCUUUAGUCAUGUCUGUAUUCCUGUCAUCUUGCAGGGCACUUCAAAGAUCAGGUGCAACCAUGCACACUUAAGGUGAGCAUAUGAUGGUUACUUAUUUUACUGUAGAGUUUCAUUGAAUCUUUUACCAUGAGGAAAUUCCAUGAACUAGGAACGCUUGAGGAACAUGUCAAAGAGACAAAGAAGAAGGCAAUUUCGGAUGAUGUAGCCCGUUAACAUGCCGGUUAUAUAUUUGAAAACGCAUGCUAAAGGAACACCAUAGGAAAUGUGCAGGAAUAUGAGUGUGCAUUAAUGUCCUUCCCCAUAAGUCACAAUCAUAACUAUAUAUGGUUAUCAAUUGCAAUCACCAAAAAAAAGAGAAACUUGACAGUCACGGCGCACAGCCUAAACAUGCACUCUCUUCUGAAAAGAAGGAAAGGGAUAAGGACCCUAAACUAUAUGGCUUCUAGUUCUAGAAUAAGCUCACCGAUUUGAGAUUGUUGUUGAGGUUGAGCAAGUCGUCCGAGACAACCUCGAGCAGCGAAGAAACAGAAGUGCGUUCAGGGGCAGGGGCGCUUGCUGUUGUCACAGCAGGAAUCGUCCGUGCCGGCACAUCAACAGCCGCAGUUCCUGCAGAGACACACACCGGUAAGCACAUCACUCCAGCACCGCCACUGAAACCAAGCUAAAGCACUCGGAUUUACACGGCAAGGCAAUCAGGCUUAAGCAGCAGAAAACGAGAGAGAAGAGGAGCAGACCAGGCUGGGCGGUGGCCAGUGAGGCAACGAAGCAAACACAUGGCGUGCGCCGCCGUCUGGGCGACGCCCACGCGCCGGUACAGCGGCUGCGGCAGGGGGCCACCAGCUGCCCCAAAUCGAGCGCCGUCUUGCUCAUGGACGACACCCCUGGGCAGCUCAGAGACAGCAUCUCGAGCAGGGAGAGAGAGAGAGACGCCCACACAGCGAUUGAAGAAGGAAUUGAAUCGAGCUAAAGCGCUUGGAGCCGGAGCUGGAGCUCCCAGGGCUAGGGAUACCAAAAUCUUUGGACCUUGAGACGAUACUUGACUGUGAUUGGUUUCGUGUGCGAAUUGAUCUGGUGGUUGGGAUCUUUCUUCGUCUCCUUCUCGAGGUGGAGGCGGACGGAGCUCCACGGGCAGCACAUCAAGGAGCACGCAUUGCGGGAUUUUAAGUAUGGAGUAAGCCGAGUAGAAAGGGGGGCUUUUUUUUUCUUUUCUUUUUUUUAAGGUAGAAAGGGGGUUUUGUGUAUCUAUGCUGGCCAUAGAAUCCGGAGGUUUGCGUGAGGUCAUUCGCUCGGGAAAAAAGUAUUCUUUAUUAUAUAUACCGGCAACGUUUUUACAAGUUAGCCCAUGAAAAUAACUUCAAUUUCAUGUCAUAAAGGGAGAUCAAGGCAUUAGUAGCGUAGAAAAUAGAGGGCAAAGCUAAGUUGGAGUCGACCAUAUAUUGGACACUCAAACUUAGAGCUUCUUGCCUUUAAAAAACACUUAGAGCCCCUUAACAGAACUCGCUUAAUAAAAUGAUAAUGAAGAUGACCCAAUGAUAUCUUUCGAUUAUUGGAGAAGACAUGAAUCCACUUGUCUGAUAUUAGUUUAUUUAUUUCAUCUUUUUCUUCCUUUUCUCUCUCUCGGCCAUUCUUCUUCUCUCGGGGUCAUCUGCUUAUUACCAACCCCUAUCAUGUUGUCCUGUCUCCAGUUGCAUUGAAUUUGUCUCCACCCCGACGCCAUGGCCUCAUUCCGGUAGGUGCAAGUGCAUGGACAAUACAGACACCUCCUAUCGCAUGUCGCCGUGCUACAUCGGUGCCCUCCACCGCCUCAGCGUCGUCGUAGGGGAGCACUUUGUUAAAGACCUUGAGUGUGUAGGCCUCCCGUUGUCGCCGUCCAUGGCAAGGGAGACCAUGCCUAUGGUGUCGUGGUGCAUGCACACCGUGUGCAUGGCAUGCAAGUCAAUCUCCAUGGAUGUCGUCACAAGCAUGAGGGAGUAUGUGAUGCUAACCCGCUAGGGUUUUUGGCCUGAUCUUUCGAUGAGAGGCGCUGGAUAACUCGAUUAGUGGAUGGAGAUGACGUUCACGGCCCGACUACAGCCCUCAAGACCGCGCCUUAGCAACCGAUACACCACGUCCAACAGCCGUCACGAUCUUGUGGAGCGCGACAACCAGCCCCUAGGGCUCCCGUCCUGCAAGCAAUCGAAGAACUAGCAAGAACGAGGAAACAAGCACUGAAUUUGCAAGAUGAAUUGAAGGUUUCAAACUGAAUCUGAAUCAACAAUGGGGUUCCGAAGACAAGGAGACGGGCGGCUGAUCCUGCACGCGCGCCUACAAGCAAGUAGCGAAGGCUAAACUUGAUCUAAACAAAACUCAGUUGUUCAUGGCGGCUCUAGAUGUAAAUAAAUAGAGGGGAGGACGACCAAAGGGGUGCUAGAGUCGUCCUCCAACCCUAGGACGCGUCCCUAAUGGACUCAACUUGAUACAUGGGCCAUUGGUCCAAAAUAGGGUGACGCAGCACCAAAACAGAAAAAGGUGUCGGCACGAAAACAAGGACUGCGCCCGACUCGUAAGCUGCAUAGAUAUGUGGUUGGACCCAUUGGAAAGUAGACUUCAUGAGCUUUCCAACAAGUAUAGGAACGUCCCAGUUGGAGUCCAUAUGACGCCGUGGUGAUCCAUACAAGUUAGAGUUAUUUUCCAGUCCGAAUCCAACUCCCAAAACGUGUUGGGUUUGGACUCUUUGUUUCCUUGCUGAUCUUGUCCAUUAUUCCUGAGCAACACGAAAGUGCACGUGUCUCCAUUGUCUAAAUAUGAUUGACAAGAGUUUAAAACUGAACUUACUUGAAGGUUGAGUUGACGGGCACGAGCACGAGUAAGAGGACCAGCUAUAGGUUGUGUCGGAGAGGAUGUAGGACCAGCUAUAGGUUGUGUCGGAGAUGUAGGACUAGCUAUAGGUUGUGUCGGAGAGGAUGUAGGAGAGGAUGUAUCGCUGGUGUUGAUGUCCUCAUCAUCCUCCCUUUCUUGCAUUUGAGUCGUCCUCGACUCAAGCUCAUCUUCCUCACCCAAAUAAGGCUUCAAAUCUGCAAUGUUAAAUGUGGGACUAACCCCAAAAUCUGCAGGAAGAUCAAGCUUAUAUGCAUUCUCAUUAAUUCGUUGCAGCACUUUAAAGGACCAUCAGCUCUAGGCAUCAAUUUGGAUUUUCUCAGUUCUGGAAAUCUAUCUUUUCGCAAAUGCAACCAAACCAAAUCCCCAGGUUCCAGAAUCAAUUGCUUUCUACCUUUAUCUCCAGCGCAUUUGUACUUAGCAUUCAUGCGCUCUAUGUUUUGUUUAGUGGCUUCAUGCAAUUUUAACAUCAAUUCAGCACGUUGCUUAGCUUCAAAAUUUAUUUUUUCAGAACUUGGCAAAUGCAUUAAAUCAAUAGGAGCACGUGGCAAGAAGCCAUAGACAAUCUCAAAAGGACACAUUUUUAUAGUAGAAUGCAGUGAACGAUUAUAGGCGAACUCAAUAUGAGGCAAACAUUCUUCCCACAUCUUAAUAUUCUUCUUUAAAACAGCCCUUAACAUAGUGGAUAAAGUUCUAUUAACAACUUCAGUUUGACCAUCAGUUUGGGGAUGACAAGUGGUGGAAAAUAAAAGCUUAGUCCCCAAUUUGAACCACAAAGUCUUCCAAAAAUGACUAAGAAAUUUAGCAUCACGAUCAGAAACAAUUGUGUUGGGCACACCAUGUAAGCGAACAAUUUCUCGAAAGAACAAAUCAGCAAUAUUUGUAGCAUCAUCAGUUUUAUGACAUGGUAUAAAAUGUGCCAUCUUAGAAAAUCUAUCAACAACCACAAACACACUAUCACGUCCCCUCCUAAUCCUCGGUAGUCCCAACACAAAAUCCAUAGAUAUAUCCUCCCAAGGAGCAUUAGGAACAGGAAGAGGUAAAUACAAACCAUGAGGAUUUAACCGUGACUUUGCCUUUUGACAUGUUGUGCAACGAGCAACAAACCUCUCCACAUCUCUCUUCAUCCUUGGCCAAAAGAAAUGACCAGCAAGUAUGUCCUCGGUCUUCUUUGCUCCAAAAUGUCCCAUCAAGCCACCUCCAUGCGCUUCCUGCAACAACAACAAACGAACAGAGCUAGCUGGAAUGCAUAGCUUGUUAGCUCUAAACACAAACCCAUCACUAACGAUGAAUUUAUUCCACCCUUUUCCAUCUUUACAAUGCAGCAACACGUCUCUAAAAUCAGCAUCAUGAACAUAUUGGUCUUUAAUUGUUUCUAACCCAAAUAUCUUGUAAUCAAGUUGAUUCAGCAAAGUAUAUCUCCGUGAUAAAGCAUCAGCAAUAAUAUUUUCCUUCCCUUUCUUGUGCUUAAUAAUAUAAGGAAAAGAUUCAAUAAAUUCAACUCAUUUUGCAUGCCUACGAUUCAGUUUUCCUUGACUACGAAUAUGUUUCAAAGAUUCAUGAUCAGAAUGGAUAAUAAACUCUUUGGGCCACAAAUAAUGCUGCCAUGUCUCUAAUGUUCUAACAAGAGCAUAGAGUUCUUUAUCAUAAGUUGAAUAAUUGAGAACAGGCCCACUCAAUUUCUCACUAAAAUAUGCAAUAGGUUUUCCCUCUUGUAAUAAAACACCUCCCAAACCAAUUCCACUAGCAUCACAUUCAAGCUCAAAAGUCUUAUUAAAAUCAGGAAGUUGUAGGAGAGGUGCAUGAGUUAACUCAUCUUUCAACAUGUUGAAUGAAUUCUCUUGUGCUUUGCCCCAAUCAAAAGGCACCCCCUUCUUUGUAAGCUCAUUCAAUGGUGCAGCAAUGGUGCUGAAAUCCUUCACAAAAUGGCGAUAGAAUCCAGCAAGUCCUAGAAAACUCCGCACCUGGGUGAUAGUAUUUGGGACAGGCCAUCCCUGUGUAGCUUCCACCUUGGCUUGAUCAACCUCAAUUCCCUGUGGAGUCACAACAUAACCAAGAAAAGACACUCGAUCGGUGCAAAAGGUGCACUUCUCAAGGUUACCAAAUAAACGUGCCUCGCGUAGUGCAUUAAAAACAGCACGUAAAUGAUCAAGAUGUUCAUCCAAUGAUUUGCUGUAAAUCAAUAUGUCAUCAAAAUAUACGACAACAAAUUUCCCAAUGAAAGCACGCAAAACCUCGUUCAUUAAUCUCAUGAAAGUACUAGGUGCAUUAGUUAACCCAAAAGGCAUGACUAACCACUCAUACAAACCGAACUUAGUUUUGAAAGCAGUUUUCCAUUCAUCUCCCAAUUUCAUACGAAUCUGGUGGUAUCCACUACGUAAAUCAACUUUUGAAAACACAACAGCACCACUCAGUUCAUCUAGCAUAUCAUCUAAUCGUGGAAUAGGGUGUCAAUAUCGAAUGGUGAUAUUAUUAAUAGCUAUACAAUCAACACACAUACGCCAUGUUCCAUCUUUCUUAGGCACUAAAAUUACUGGAACAGCACAAGGACUAAGAGAUUCUCGGACAUAACCUUUGUCUAGUAGUUCUUGCACUUGUCGCUAAAUUUCCUUUGUUUCCUCCGGGCUUGUCCUGUAUGGUGCACGAUUUGGCAAAACUGCUCCAGAAAUAAGAUCAAUUUGGUGCUCAAUCCCGCGUAGUGGAGGCAGCCCCGCUGGUACCUCACUUGGAAACACAUCAGAAUACUCCUGCAAAAUGUUAGCAACAGCAGGGGGCAAAGAACAUUGCAUAUCCUCAAUUGAAAUCAAAGCAUCCUUGCAUAUCAAAGCAUAAGCAACAGAAGUGGAUGCAUUGAACUCAUUAAUAUCUGAUUUGGUAGCUAACUAGCUAUCAUACAACGUCCUUUCAGUUUUAUCUCAUCUUUGUUACCAAUUACAGAUUUAUCAUUUUUAUUGCUCUUGCUCUUUGCUUUAGUAGCCCUAGCAACAUCAGUUUGCAUAAUAGUUUCAGGGGACAUAGGAUGCAACACAAUUUUGCGAUCAUGGUAUAGAAAAGAAUACUGAUUUGAUCUACCAUGAUGCAUAGAAUCUCUAUCAAAUUGCCAAGGUCUACCUAGCAGAAUGUUACAAGCUUGCAUAGGCACAACAUCACAUUCAACAAUAUCUUUGUAGGAUCCGAUGGAAAAAUUAAUUCUCACAAGUCUAGUUACCUUUGCCUUACCAUUGUUGUUCAGCCAUUGGAUGUAGUAGGGAUGCGGGUGUGGUUUGGUGUUGAGGGCAAGCUUCUGCACCAUAUCGCUGCUUGCCAAGUUGUUGCAGCUACCUCCAUCAAUGAUCAUGCGACAAGAACGCUCUUUGAUGACACACUUUGUUUGGAAUAAAAUGUGUCGCUGAUUUUGUUCCGCCAUCUCUAUUUGUGCACUAAGCACUCGCUGCACGAUCAAGCUCUCAUAGUGGUCCGCUUCACCUGCAUUAAUAUGUUCUUCUAUUUGAUCUUCAUUACCUGCAUGGUCAGUCGCAAGCAGUGCAAGUGUAUCCUCAUCAAAAUCACUAGCAGAUGAGUACUCACCAUCAUCUCUGAGAAUCAUAACUCGCUUGUUUGGGCAGUCACGCAUCAUGUGCCCAUAUCCCUUGCACCGAUGACAUUGUAUGUUGCUUGUUCUACCCGUCGAUGCCACGGAUGAAGUACUCGCAGCAGGCUUUUGCAUCGUCUUCGCAACUGAAUUGGUGAGGGCAGCUCGAGCCUUGUCACUAGAUGAUGGAGUAGAAAUACGUGUAGAUGGAGUUGAAGCCAUGUGUUGCUGCCAUGAAUUAGCCUUCCCUGCAGAAAUAUUACUCCUUGCGCUAGCACGUCGUCCCUGCACUUCCCUUUCAGCUUUACAAGCAAGAUGAAACAAACGGGUUAUAUUAUUGUAUUCUUUGUAAGCGAGGAUGUCUUGAAUUUCCCGAUUUAACCCACCCAAAAAUCUAGCCAUAGCCGGUUCCUCAUCCUCCUCUAGGUUACAACGCAACAUACCCGUUUGUAAUUCCUGAUAAAAUUCUUCUACACUUUUAGCACCUUGUCUUAACUGCUGCAACUUAUUUAUCAUAUCACGCGCAUAGUAAGAUGGAACAAAUCUAGCUCUCAUGGCCCUUUUCAGUGCAUCCUAAGUUCUAGGUAAGUUAUUAAGAUUUUUCUUUCCAUAUUCUAUCCACCAAACAGAAGCAAAAUCUGUAAACUCACUAGUAGCAGCCCUAACACGUGUAGUCUCAGGAAAUUCAUGACAUGCAAACUUUUGAUCAACAGCAAUCUUCCAAGUGAUGUAAGCAUCAGGGUCAUAUUUACCAUCAAAAGGGGGUAUCUUAAAUUUAAUCUUACUGAAAGCAUCAUCAUUAUUGUGUACCUCGCGUCGGCGAUUGCCACCCAUACCUCUACGGUUGUGACGAAGGCGACGUCGAUCACGAGUGUCUUGAUCAUCAUAUUCAGUAUCACCAGUGUAGUCAUCUUCAUGACUACCGUGCUCUCGAUCUCCCUCCUUUUCUUCUUUAUGCUUCUUUUUAUCUUCGGUGUGGAAAGCAUCAAAUCGCCUUAGGAGAGCAGCAAGGCUUUUGUCCACACUAGCAACGGAUUCCUCCAAACUUGUGAGCUUGUUGUUUGUGGCAAUCUGCGUAGCCUCCAACUGCCCCAGCUUUUCAUUCGUCACCUGCAAGUCGUUAUCAAGUCCCUCUGUGUGCAGCUUCACUUUCCUUUCAAAAUAUGGUAUGAUGCCCUUAGUGCGAGGUGUAAGUGGUGUUUCGUUACCAUCAUCUGCCCCUGGCAUGGUUCAAAGACAAAGACAACAAAAAGGCAAGUGAAAAAAUAAAAGCCCUACAACUACUAGGAUGUAGCUACAGCAAGUCGCUCACACUCAACCUGUAACACAAGUUCUUACCAAUUCUUACCUUGCUUGACAGGAGGGGUCGUCUGCCAACAAGUGUACGGCAAUGGACGAAGUGUAUCGGUGCUGCAGCACAAGACCUGUCAAGCUGUAGAGUAUGUGGAGCUAUAGGUGGGCUGAAACAAGGAACGAACUAGCACCACGUUAGUUAUAAAAGCGAGCUGAAUAAGCGUUCGAUGAUGGUACUGUGCUGGUCUUAGGCUAGACCGUGCUAGAGACGCGAGCUUGGACACAAAGGAAAACCACAGCACACCCCCGAAAACAAGGUGGAAGAAACCUUAAAUCAAUAUGAAAAACAGCCCCUUUUUUUUAAUCUUUUCUCUUUUCUUUUUUUCUUUUUUUUUGGCAACCUCAAAAACUGAUUAUAUGAACAAAGGAAUACAAAAGAGCAAUUCGCUACACACACACACUCUCUCUCUCUAGAGUAAGGCCGAACAAGUAUGGAGUUAUCUUUUUUUUUGGAUCACAGUUCAAUUUGGACUUCACAACAGAUUCGACAGAGAGAAGAUAUGGUAAUACUCGGCUGUGUAUAGAUGGUGACAAGAACUCGAAACUCUAAAGGACUAGACACUAAGACCAGCAACUCGACACAAACCGAAGCAACGCAAAUUCAACAAGCCCUAACUAAAACGGUACUAGCCAAGGCACAAAGGUUUAAUAGGAUUAUGGAAAAACUAAUCUACUAUAUAUUUUUUUGGCUUUUCUAGACUAUAGAAAAUUAAUUAAAAACAGCAAAGGAUUAGAAGUCUCUCACCGAAGAACCUUGCUCUGAUACCAACUGAUGCGAACCCGCUAGGGUUUUUGGCCUGAUCUUUCGAUGAGAGGCGCUGGAUAACUCGAUUAGUGGAUGGAGAUGACGUUCACGGCCCGACUACAGCCCUCAAGACCGCGCAUUAGCAACCGACACACCACGUCCAACAGCCGUCACGAUCUUGUGGAGCGCGACAACCAGCCCCUAGAGCUCCCGUCCUGCAAGCAAUCGAAGAACUAGCAAGAACGAGGAAACAAGCACUGAAUUUGCAAGAUGAAUUGAAGGUUUAAAACUGAAUCUGAAUCAACAAUGGGGUUCCGAAGACAAGGAGACGGACUGCUGAUCCUGCACGCGCGCCUACAAGCAAGUAGCGAAGGCUAAACUUGAUCUAAACAAAACCCAGUUGUUCAUGGCGGCUCUAGAUGUAAAUAAAUAGAGGGGAGGACGACCAAAGGGGUGCUAGAGUCGUCCUCCAACCCUAGGACGCGUCCCUAAUGGACUCAACUUGAUACAUGGGCCAUUGGUCCAAAAUAGGGUGACGCAGCACCAAAACAGAAAAAGGUGUCGGCACGAAAACAAGGACUGCGCCCGACUCAUAAGCUGCAUAGAUAUGUGGUUGGACCCAUUGGAAAGUAGACUUCAUGAGCUUUCCAACAAGUAUAGGAACGUCCCAGUUGGAGUCCAUAUGACGCCGUGGUGAUCCAUACAAGUUAGAGUUAUUUUCCAGUCCGAAUCCAACUCCCAAAACGUGUUGGGUUUGGACUCUUUGUUUCCUUGCUGAUCUUGUCCAUUAUUCCUGAGCAACACGAAAGUGCACGUGUCUCCAUUGUCUAAAUAUGAUUGACAAGAGUUUAAAACUGAACUUACUUGAAGGUUGAGUUGACGGGCACGAGCACGAGUAAGAGGACCAGCUAUAGGUUGUGUCGGAGAGGAUGUAGGACCAGCUAUAGGUUGUGUCGGAGAUGUAGGACCAGCUAUAGGUUGUGUCGGAGAGGAUGUAGGAGAGGAUGUAUCGCUGGUGUUGAUGUCCUCAUCAGUAUGAGAUGUAUGCCAUGUCAUGGCCUCUUGCGCUUGUUGCCAAGGGCGGACGAGGGCUUGGAGUGGUAGGUGGAGGCGGUGGCCAUGACUCAUAGUGUGUAGGGGAGUGGAGUCGAUGUUGUAGGGGGAGAUGUAAUUCCUUUUAUUUGAGAUGGGGAGAGGAAUGUUUUGGUGCCCACAAAACGAUGGGUUAUUGGGGAUUACUGGAGCAAGGAAAUAGCACCAUCUCCACUAAUAUGACAAGUGUAUGAAGAUAAAGGGUAUUAUUUGGAGAUAGCUAAAUAUGCUCUUGGGGAAGGCAUUAAACACAGAAAAAGCUUGGGGCCAACUCUAAGCUUUAGACUCGACAUCUCAGAUUAAAAAAAUUACGUUGAGAGAUGUCGUUGCUGCCGCCACGAUCAACAAGCCUGCUAGUGGACAAUUUCAGUGGUGCUUGGACCUAGCGCGGCGGUGCCUGAAAUCCACCUUAAUCGGUGGCAAUGACUCUGGGCAUGGAGUUGCCUAGGAAUGACAAGCUUGUUAGGGCUCCUUUGGAUCAAUCAUGAGGAUUAAGGGAGAAAUUACUUUAUUUUCCUCUUAAAUUCUCGCAAUCCCUAUGGUAAAUAGGUGUAUUCAAAAGAGCCCUUAGGGUAAAGACAGAGGUAUCAAGAACUUUGGGGUUGGCGGCAUUAGAACAACGACACGGAGGGAUGGAGGCAAUAGCUUCGGAGGUGAACAUACCCGAACGAAUGAACGAUCUGUGAAAUAGAAAUGGUGGGAAUCUAUUUUUAUUUAGAAGUGGAACCCAUUUUAAAGCUCAUGUCUGUCUCAAAUAUGACAAAGUAUGGGCCUUAUUUAACGCGAGCUCUAGCUUAAAGCCUUUGGAGUCAUAAACACUUCGGAUGUCCUAAGGCACCCCCAAUAAAAAUGACAAGUUGUUGCUGAGAUGAGAGAGCAGAAAUAUAGGAAAAAUAAAAGCAAAGAACUAUCGUGUUUUUUUUGUGAGAGUGCAAUCGUCCUAGCGUCUUUCUUUGCAGCAUAUACUCCCUCCAUCUCAAAUUAUAAGUCAUUCGAAAAUUUUUAGAGAGUCAAAACAUUUCAAGUUUAACUAAAUUUAUAUGGUAAGAUAAUAACAUUUAUGAUAUUAGCUAAGUAUCAUUAGAUUUUUUAUUAAUUAUAUUUUUAUAGUAUAUCUAUUUAAUGCUACAAAACUUUAUAAUUAUUUCUAUAAUUUUGAUCAAAUUUAAGAUCUUUUAACUUUUCAGAUUCUUAAAAUAAUUUAUAAUUUGAGACGAAGGGAGUAGUACCAUAGUACAGAACAUGACAUCAAUUACAGAGGAGCCGGAUCGGCAAAAAUGCCACAUAAGAUAUUUUCGAAAUUGGUGUAUGGGAUUAUACGAGAAAGAAUGUGCGACAGGGCAGCUGCACCUGCUCCCUGUCUUUUUCCUCCACGUUCUUCUGUCUUCUCACUAGUCACUACCAGGGGCAGAUUAGGCAGAUGGCUUCAAACUAUGGCCUUGUUUAGUUUCAAAAAUUUUAGUAAAAUAGACACGAUAAUAUUUUCGUUUGUAUUUGACAAAUAUUGUUCAAUUAUAGAUUAACUAGGCUCAAAAGAUUUGUCUCGUAAAUUACAGAUAAACUAUACAAUUAGUUAUUUUUUUUAUCUAUAUUUAAUUUAAUGCUCUAUGCACGUGUCACAAAAUUUGGUGUAACAAGGAAUCUGAAACAAUUCUGCAAAACUUUUUAAAAACUAAACAAGGCCUAUCUCCAUUUCUGCCUAAACCUACAAUAAGUUAGCCAUUUAAAAAAAACAACGUGAGUCCAUUUCAAAAAUGCGUAUACACCCCGCGAGCGCGGGGGCCGGGGCCAAACAUGAAUGAAUAAUGAAUCAGAAACGUGUGCUGGGAGAAGGGCGACGUGGGCAAACGGAGAUGGUUGGCCGGGUACAUGUGUGCUCCGGGACGCUGGCCAGACAUGUCGCCGCCACGGGGCCCAGUCGACCCAGUUGCCGUGUCAUCGGCGAAGAACAGAGCUGUACUUCGCCGUCGCGGCACGGAAUUUCUGCGUCGCCACAACACAACGGUUGGACGCAGACAUGCAGGGACAGAUCCGCGAGAGCAGGACUUGUCAGAUCGUGCCAAUAGUGCCGACGACUCGAGUCGGUGUGGUG